rnacentral:rRNA from 1 species
GGAGGAAAAGAAACUAACAAGGAUUCCCCUAGUAACGGCGAGUGAAGCGGGAAGAGCUCAAAUUUGUAAUCUGGCACCUUCGGUGUCCGAGUUGUAAUCUCGAGAAGUGUUUUCCGCGCCGGACCGCAUACAAGUCUGUUGGAAUACAGCGUCAUAGUGGUGAGAACCCCGUAACUGAUGCGGAUGCCCGGUGCUUUGUGAUACACUUUCGAAGAGUCGAGUUGUUUGGGAAUGCAGCUCAAAUUGGGUGGUAAAUUCCAUCUAAAGCUAAAUAUUGGCGAGAGACCGAUAGCGAACAAGUACCGUGAGGGAAAGAUGAAAAGCACUUUGGAAAGAGAGUUAACAGUACGUGAAAUUGUUGGAAGGGAAACGCUUGAAGUCAGACUUGCUAUUUGGAAUUCAGCCGCAAGGUGUACUUUUCAAUUCGCAGGCCAGCAUCAGUUUUCGGGGGUGGAAAAGGGUAGAGAGAAGGUAGCAAUUUCGGUUGUGUUAUAGCUCUUUGCUGGAUUCAUCCUUGGGGACUGAGGAACGCAGCACGCUUUUUGCAAGGCUUUCGAGCUUUUCGUGCUUAGGAUGCUGGUGGAAUGGCUUUAAACGACCCGUCUUGAAACACGGA